rnacentral:rRNA from 1 species
CCUACGGGAGGCAGCAGCCGCGGUAAUACGGGAGCCAGCAGCCGCGGUAAUACGGGAGCCAGCAGCCGCGGUAAUACGGGAGCCAGCAGCCGCGGUAAU